GCUCCCGGGUGACGAGCGGCGGACGGGUGAGUAAUUGCUGGGAAACUGCCUGAUGGAGGGGGAUAACUACUGGAAACGGUAGCUAAUACCGCAUAACGUCGCAAGACCAAAGAGGGGGACCUUCGGGCCUCUUGCCAUCAGAUGUGCCCAGAUGGGAUUAGCUAGUAGGUGGGGUAACGGCUCACCUAGGCGACGAUCCCUAGCUGGUCUGAGAGGAUGACCAGCCACACUGGGACUGAGACACGGUCCAGACUCCUACGGGAGGCAGCAGUGGGGAAUAUUGCACAAUGGGCGCAAGCCUGAUGCAGCCAUGCCGCGUGUAUGGAGAAGGCCUUCGGGUUGUAAAGUACUUUCAGCGGGGAGGAAGGUGUUGUGGUUAAUAACCACAGCAAUUGACGUUACCCGCAGAAGAAGCACCGGCUAACUCCGUGCCAGCAGCCGCGGUAAUACGGAGGGUGCAAGCGUUAAUCGGAAUUACUGGGCGUAAAGCGCACGCAGGCGGUCUGUCAAGUCGGAUGUGAAAUCCCCGGGCUCAACCUGGGAACUGGAUUCGAAACUGGCAGGCUAAAGUCUUGUAAGGGGGGGUAGAAAUUCCAGGUG
rnacentral:rRNA from 1 species